GACGAACGCNGGCGGCGUGCUUGACACAUGCAAGUCGAACGAAGAGCGAUGGAAGCUUGCUUCUAUCAAUCUUAGUGGCGAACGGGUGAGUAACGCGUAAUCAACCUGCCCUUCAGAGGGGGACAACAGUUGGAAACGACUGCUAAUACCGCAUACGAUCUAAUCUCGGCAUCGAGGAUAGAUGAAAGGUGGCCUCUACAUGUAAGCUAUCACUGAAGGAGGGGAUUGCGUCUGAUUAGCUAGUUGGAGGGGUAACGGCCCACCAAGGCGAUGAUCAGUAGCCGGUCUGAGAGGAUGAACGGCCACAUUGGGACUGAGACACGGCCCAGACUCCUACGGGAGGCAGCAGUGGGGAAUCUUCCGCAAUGGACGAAAGUCUGACGGAGCAACGCCGCGUGAGUGAUGACGGCCUUCGGGUUGUAAAGCUCUGUUAAUCGGAACGAAAGGCCUUCUUGCGAACAGUUAGAAGGAUGAC
rnacentral:rRNA from 1 species